rnacentral:rRNA from 1 species
AUGCCGGGUGUUCCCAGGGGACUGGCUGAGCAUCGUUUGGGAGUCGACCCAAAGGUGAAACCAAUUAAAGAGCAUCAGAUUGAAACGUCCCAGCACUUAUUCUUUGGUUGCUCUGUGGCCAAGGUUGUUUGGCGAUCGAUUGGCGUCACACUUGGGAUAGACUUGUGUCCUAGUAACUAUUGGCAAUUUUUUGUCUGGUGCUACUCUUUCUUGCCUGGAUGUGAUUCGUUCUAUACUGUGGCGCUUGGGGCGGUCACUUGGGCCAUUUGGCUAGCUCGUAAUAGAGCUACUUUUGAGAAAAAUAUGAUCAAAUCUCCUUUUGAGAUUGUCUUUACGGCAGUGUCUUUUCUCUUGUAUUGGGCAGGUUUGCAGGCGGGAGAAGACGUCAAGCAACUCUGA